ACCAACGGCCAUACCACGUUGAAUGCACCGGUUCUCGUCCGAUCACCGAAGUUAAGCAACGACGGGCGUGGUUUAGUACCUGGAUGGGUGACCGCCUGGGAACACCGCGUGCUGUUGGUA
rnacentral:rRNA from 1 species